rnacentral:lncRNA from 1 species
GUCAUAAAGUUUAAUCAUUCAAGUUACAUCUUGUAUUUAUAUCCAUAUUUUCGGUAUCAGAUUUAUGUCCAUAUGUAUUUUAAAUAAAUAUAGAUAUGAAUUUUUGAAUCCAAAUAAAAUUUGUAUUUGUAUAUGUAUUCUUCAAACAAAACAAAUAUAGUUAUGGAUAUAUUAGUAUUUGAUCCAUAUAUGAUCCAUUUUCAGUCCUAAUAUUGGUGAUUCUAUCUAGAGAAGCAUUUGCAUAU